rnacentral:rRNA from 1 species
UACAGAGGGGGCAAGCGUUGUUCGGAAUUACUGGGCGUAAAGGGCGCGUAGGCGGCCUACUAAGUCGAACGUGAAAUCCCCGGGCUCAACCCGGGAACUGCGUCCGAUACUGGUGGGCUUGAAUCCGGGAGAGGGAUGUGGAAUUCCAGGUGUAGCGGUGAAAUGCGUAGAUAUCUGGAGGAACACCGGUGGCGAAGGCGGCAUCCUGGACCGGUAUUGACGCUGAGGCGCGAAAGCUAGGGUAGCAAACGGG